AACGUAGGUCACAAGCGUUGUCCGGAAUUACUGGGUGUAAAGGGAGCGCAGGCGGGAAGACAAGUUGGAAGUGAAAUCUAUGGGCUCAACCCAUAAACUGCUUUCAAAACUGUUUUUCUUGAGUAGUGCAGAGGUAGGCGGAAUUCCCGGUGUAGCGGUGGAAUGCGUAGAUAUCGGGAGGAACACCAGUGGCGAAGGCGGCCUACUGGGCACCAACUGACGCUGAGGCUCGAAAGUGUGGGUAGCAAACAGGAUUAGAGACCCCAUGUUCCGGCUGACUGACU
rnacentral:rRNA from 1 species